AUGAAUACUGACAUGAAUAAGACCAAGCUCUGCCUCCAGGACUCAUGGUCCACAGGACACGUCAAACGGAUUUCUAAUUUAAAAUCCAG
rnacentral:lncRNA from 1 species